rnacentral:lncRNA from 1 species
AUCAAAAAAUUGUUUAUAUCGUGUCAACCUUUGUGCUUUGCCAUAAAUAUAAGUUAUUAUUUCACUUUGUGGUUAUUUUUAGGUUCCAAUGACGCCUAUGAGAAUAGUGCAAAAAUAAAAUUAUCACUACGGGAAUUGAGAAAAUGUUAGUCUUUUUUUAUGUAGUGUUUCUUAAUUAAUAUCUGACGAUUAUCUAUAAUUAUUUAAAAGGUUUAAAUGUUAAGGUUAUUUACAUAUUGUCACGCCUCAUUUUUACCUACGCCCUCGAGGAAGGGUGUAAAGGGAGUUUUCCAACUUAAAGUGACAAUCGAAACGGGAUUAUUUUAUUUAAAAUUCAGAGUAGCCACUUGAAAUAAUUUAUGGUGUCCCAAGUCACCCGUUUAAAUCCCGAAUCGAGGAAAAGAUUGACUCUGUUUAACAGUCCGCGAACCAGAAAUCCGGGUAAGGAAUUCUAUUAACCCGGGAGAAGGUGUUAGGCAUUCUCGGAUUCCGUGAUUCUAGCACGGUCGCUCAACUGUUAUAAUUGGGCUAUUUACUGAUUUUAAUACAUGUUUUAGCCUAUGGUGCAAUUUUAACUUUAUAACCGCUUUAUUUAAUCAUUUUAAGGAAGAUUGCAAUGUCAUUUGAAAAUACAUCUUGAACCACGUCACAUAAAUGCACCUGCGGUCCUCGACAUAUUUUAACAUUGUUGAGAUUUGGAUUUGGGUCGCAUAAAUGCGCACCCAAGUUUAGGAAUGUAAUUUUAAGUAUCGCGCCUAAAGCAACUACGCACUUUCAAGUUUUGCGAGGGCCAUGGAAAAUUCACUAAUGGAACACCUCGAUUUCUAAGGGUUCAAGCAUUAAUUAAGCGAGUGUCAUGCAUUUUUGAGGUUUUAUUUGGCACGGCGCACCUCAAUACAAUUUAAAGGAAAUUCGAAACUAAACUUUGAGAGCCAUAAAUUGUACAUUUGGCUUAAUACGGCACACCCCAAAUUAUUAAAAUAAGGGAAUUCAAACUAAGCUUUGGAGGGCCAUAAACUAUUUUUAUUGUCUAAUAUGGCACACCUCCAAUCUACUUUUAAGAGAGUCAAAGUUAAUUAAAGAAAAACCUCAAGGAAUUCGAAAGAGGUUUUUGUGUUAAAGAUCGACUUAAGAAAAUGGAAUAAGUGAACUAAUGCCCAUUCCCUUUUGACAUCUGAGCCCAAUAUCUUACUGAAAUGUCACAUGCUAGCAAACCGUUGAUUUUAAAACGAUUUAAGCCAAGCCUCAAUAGGAGGCCCAAUUCGAAAAACGUGUUGCAACUAGGAAACGGGGACUCAGGAUCGAAUCCCUGUAGUGGUAUAACAUGACACACAAACGAGUUUGGGCUUAAUCAUUGAUCUUAUGGACAUUUACACGAAAUUUUGACAAAAGAAUUGAUUUCGAAAGCAAUAAAGCAACAAAAAAAACAGUAUUAGCAACUAAAUAAUAAGCAGCUCCAACUUUUAAAUCUUCAAAGGACUUGAAAUAAAAUGCAAACAGAGCAUGUUUUGCAUAAGCAUACCAAUAACUUGCGAUUUGCCAAAGAGAGACCCAAACAUAAACUCUUGCAAGAUCUAAAGUUCAUUCCCAAAAUUCAUUAUACGCAGAAUCAAAAGCAACAAAGGCCACAAGCAGAUUUGAUCAACCUUACUUCCAACAAAAACAUUAUGCUCCCACACCCCCACAGAAACUUCUAAUAACAUAUCAAACAUUAAACUUACUCCCUUGUACCCUUGUUAACAACAAUUCAGAUAUGCAUAUAUUACCAAGCACAUCUACUGAUUUUGACCAAAAUUAAAAUACAUCUGAGACAUAUUAAUGUAAAUAAGUCUCUUUCACGACAUUUCAUCAGUCCUAAACUAAGUACUACUCAAAGAUUUUAUCUGUUCAGGAUAGAAUCCAACUAGCAUACAUGAUAAAUCAAGUAUCUAAGACAAUCAGCUAUGUAAAAAUAUUACAAACGAGACUAUUAUCAUUCUUUCAACUUUGUUUUCAUUUUAGUCUUCGAAUUUGACCUUACAUUGGGUAGAGUUCAGGAAAAUGUACCUGGGAAUGAAAAGAAAGCAAAGAGGAUCAGUGAAUAGGCAGUAGCAAAAAUAGCUUGAACCCCAGCAAUGGAAUAAUGUCAAAAGAACUCAGCAAAAUCAGCGUUGAUGCCCAGCAGACCCCAAAAUCAAAAUUGAAUUGAAACAGGGUCUCAAACACACGCUCAGCUUGAAACCAACUUUCCAAACCCAAAUUAACCCAUCUUUAAUACCAUGUAAACCAGAGAUAACUUCAGAAAAAGGAAAAACCACUUCAAGAAUCAAAUUAGAAAGCCAAUGGAACAGUGAAAUUUUUUGAACUUUCUCUUUCAGCCGUUGUGAUUUUCUGAAAUUUUUCCUCUCCAGGUUUGCCUUUAAAGGUAAGGCAAUAGGGCAACUAAUAGAGACUCAAAUUUUCUCUAGGCCCUUUUCAUGUUUUCAUUUUUGCCUAGAUAUCCCUAUUUAGUUUUCAGAUUUUCAAAACAAUCCCAAAGUCAGCUUCCAAGAAGCUUCCAUUUAAGUUAUACAAAGAUUCCCUAGACUAGACUACCCAAAAUACCCUUUGAGCCUCUGAAAACUACCCCUCUAACCCAAGUAUAGGUCACACUGACCCGACUCAAAUUGGUAGGGGUCUGCAAACCCAAAUUAAAUCCCCACUUGGGCUUUCUGAUUUUCGGAGUCCAAUUAAAAUCCAUCAGGGAUUCCCAACUCGAAAGACUGACCAAAAUUUCCCUACAAGAAAACCCGGAACCCCAUCUUUAAAAUGCAAUCAAGCAAGGACAAAGAUGAAUGAUCUAAUUAACAGGAAAUCGACUAAAUUAAGACCUAAUUAAGUGAUUUAACGAACCAAAAACUUAACCUGUUUAACAAACUAAAAAUGUCACAAAACGGAAUUCACGAAGAAAAAGAGAGAACAGAGAAAAAUAAUGAACAGAAAAACAAACUUGGACUCAGAAGAUGAAUUGAAUUUUCAACCAAAUUAUUAUAAGAAAACUAGUUUUAAGAAAGGGAAAGAUGAGGAUGACAGAAAGGAAACCGGAAAGGGAAAGGGGCUCACCAAAUCGAACCUCGAAACCGGACGGGGACAAAGAACUUAGCCAAACUUAUGUCGAUCCCUUGUUCUUUGUCAAGAACAACUGAACGACAUCAGUUUCGCCGAGUCCAAACCUCAGAGUUUGAAAGAAUAGCGCUCCCCGAACGUACAUGUGAAAAAUGACUUUGAACUUGUUGGGGGUUGAACUCGGAUUCCAGAUUCGCGGAGCUCCCGGUAGAUUCGAAGGAAAGUAGUUGUGGAUUUGGUAUGAGAGGAUAAUGGGGAUUGUAGGGUGUUAGUUUGGGGCGGUUUGGGAGCAGCGCCGCCAGCGACAAACAGUGGAAAUUAGGGCGGCGGCGCUAGGGUUUCGGUUUGGGGACGAUAAGU